UCAGGCACUGUUUUGGACAUUGGGAACAUCGAAGUAGAGUGAGCAUCAUCAUGAAUGGAAACACUUUCUCUGAAAAAAGACAUAAAACAAUUGAAAGUCAGCAGUGUCUUUCUUGCAAAAUAUUAUGAAGAUCAGGACAAUUAGAAUUAGGUAUACUCCAAUUCCAUUUUAGAAUUUGCAAUAGAGAAGGUGCUUUGGGAAUGGAAUUAAAUGAGCUGAUUCAUGUAAAGGGAUUUAACUGGGUGCCGGACCUGUCAUAAACUCUUAACGUGAACAGGAGAGUUACUGUAAAAACUGAGACAACAAAACAGCCGGAGGCAUGAAAAGAAAAAGAAUCCCGCAUGAAUAGCUUGCUAUAUGUAAUU
rnacentral:lncRNA from 10 species